rnacentral:misc_RNA from 1 species
AAGUCGUAACAAGGUUUCCGUAGGUGAACCUGCGGAAGGAUCAUUAUCGAGUUUUGAACGGGUUGUAGCUGGCCUUUAACGAGGCAUGUGCACACCUGGCUCAUCCACUCUCAACCUCUGUGCACUUUAUGUAAGAAACGGUGUAAGCCGGCUAUUUAAUAGUUGGUAACAAGCCUUUCUUAUGUUUACUACAAACGCUUCAGUUAUAGAAUGUUUACUGUGUAUAACACAAUUAUAUACAACUUUCAGCAACGGAUCUCUUGGCUCUC